GGCUGAAAUUCGCCUUCAUGAAGCCGGAAUUGCUAGUAAUGGCAGGUCAGCAUACUGCCGUGAAUACGUUCCCGGGCCUUGUACACACCGCCCGUCACACCAUGAGAGUUGGGAAUACCCGAAGCCUGUGAGCUAACGUUAAGAGGCAGCAGUCGAAGGUAGAAUCAAUGAUUGGGGUGAAGUCGUAACAAGGUAAC
rnacentral:rRNA from 1 species